rnacentral:piRNA from 4 species
ACUAAAAUUGGAACGAUACAGAG